AUGCCCGAAGGGUGACGAAGCGACGCCGCGUGAGUGAGGAAGGCCCUCGGGUUGUAAAGCUCUGUCAGGAGUUAAGAAAUGUAAGUGUGUUAAUACCACAUUUAUUUGACGAAGGCUCCAAAGGAAGCCACGGCUAACUCUGUGCCAGCAGCCGCGGUAAUACAGAGGUGGCAAGCGUUGUUCGGAAUUAUUGGGCGUAAAGAGCACGUAGGUGGGUUUGUAAGUCAGAUGUGAAAGCCUUCUGUUCAACGGAAGAAUUGCAUCUGAAACUGCGAGUCUUGAGUGUAGGAGGGGAGAAUGGAACUUCUGGUGGAGCGGUGAAAUGCGUAGAUAUCAGAAGGAACGCCGGCGGCGAAAGCGAUUCUCUGGCCUAUUACUGACACUCAGUGUGCGAAAGCUAGGGGAGCAAGCGGGAUUAGAUACCCCGGUAGUCCUAGCCGUAAACGAUGGGCACUAAGUAGAGGGG
rnacentral:rRNA from 1 species